rnacentral:rRNA from 1 species
CGCGGCCUAUCAGCUUGUUGGUGGGGUGAUGGCCUACCAAGGCGACGACGGGUAGCCGGCCUGAGAGGGCGACCGGCCACACUGGGACUGAGACACGGCCCAGACUCCUACGGGAGGCAGCAGUGGGGAAUAUUGCACAAUGGGCGCAAGCCUGAUGCAGCGACGCCGCGUGGGGGAUGACGGCCUUCGGGUUGCAAACCUCUUUCGCCAGGGACGAAGCCUUUUGGGGUGACGGUACCUGGAGAAGAAGCACCGGCUAACUACGUGCCAGCAGCCGCGGUAAUACGUAGGGUGCGAGCGUUGUCCGGAAUUAUUGGGCGUAAAGAGCUCGUAGGCGGUUUGUCGCGUCGGCCGUGGAAACUGGAGGCUUAACCUUCAGCGUGCGGUCGAUACGGGCAGACUUGAGUUCGGUAGGAGAGUCUGGAAUUCCUGGUGUAGCGGUGAAAUGCGCAGAUAUCAGGAGGAACACCGGUGGCGAAGGCGGGACUCUGGGCCGAUACUGACGCUGAGGAGCGAAAGCGUGGGGAGCGAACAGGAUUAGAUACCCUGGUAGUCCACGCUGUAAACGUUGGGCGCUAGGUGUGGGUGACAUUCCACGUUGUCCGUGCCGUAGCUAACGCAUUAAGCGCCCCGCCUGGGGAGUACGG